rnacentral:rRNA from 1 species
GUGGGGAAUUUUGGACAAUGGGCGCAAGCCUGAUCCAGCAAUGCCGCGUGCAGGAAGAAGGCCUUCGGGUUGUAAACUGCUUUUGUACGGAACGAAACGGUCCGGGUUAAUACCCUGGGCUAAUGACGGUACCGUAAGAAUAAGCACCGGCUAACUACGUGCCAGCAGCCGCGGUAAUACGUAGGGUGCAAGCGUUAAUCGGAAUUACUGGGCGUAAAGCGUGCGCAGGCGGUUUUGUAAGACAGGCGUGAAAUCCCCGGGCUCAACCUGGGAAUUGCGCUUGUGACUGCAAGGCUGGAGUGCGGCAGAGGGGGAUGGAAUUCCGCGUGUAGCAGUGAAAUGCGUAGAUAUGCGGAGGAACACCGAUGGCGAAGGCAAUCCCCUGGGCCUGCACUGACGCUCAUGCACGAAAGCGUGGGGAGCAAACAGGAUUAGAUACCCUAGUAGUCC